CAACGUGUCAAACAGAACCCUAUUACGAUCAGCUGGUUCCAGACUGUGUACAUUUAUGUAAAGAUCUUGAAUAUAACAGCAAGUGUUUCUCAGUAAUGACCAUGUUGAAGAAGAGAGUGUUGGCAGAAACUGAUAAGGCUGCAGUGAAAAGAUGCUACAGAUAGAAGCACAAAAGGAAACAUGUCUGGGCAUGUUCAGGUCUGGAAAAGACUGAAAUAAAUCCUCACCCUUUUUGGACAAAACAAGGCCUAAAACUGGACUGGACAAACUAAGGCCCGGGGGCUGGAUGUGGCCCGUUCAGCUUUUUAAUCUGACCGGCAAACUUUUUCCAAAUUAUAUAAUUUAUUUAUAUUAUCAUUAUACUUCUGCCUUUUCUCUGCAAUACCUACGUUUCCCCAAUAGAUGGCAUAGAAAAUAAUAAAAUAUUUUUUUUUUUAAUUUAUCUUAGUUCGCAAUCUAACACUGCAAAAACCUCAAACAAAGCAAACUUUAAAGCAGGGGUGUCAAACAUAUGGCCUGCGGGCCAAAAUCGGCCCGCUUGAUAAAUUGUGAAAACAAAACAAAAAAUCUUUGAAAAUCUUCAUGUUGUUAAUGUUUUGUAAAAUUGUAUUUUAUUAAACAUGAAAAUUUACAACCCUGCUUUAAAGCAUUUUUUGCCAUAACAGUUUUCUCUCCUUUCUAGAGAAAUGGAUACGUGUCACAUUGCUGCUGGUUAGUGUGCUUAAUAAGUACCAGAGCAAACAAUGUGGCUGUGGUCAAGGGCCAGGACAAGGAAAUGGAAACAUUCUUCAAAGAAAAAUUUUGGGUUUUUUUUUCUUUUUUUUCCCUCUACACUAAUUACCGACUGCAGUGUCAGGGGUUGGUGUAUGAAGUGAAACCCAUUCUGGCUCAGCUAACUGUUUCAGUCACCUAUUAGUUCAUGUGAAAAGCAGGUCUGUUUUGAAACGUAACCACCUGCUAUUUUAGAAUCCAGAACAGUGUGUCUUCUCUCUACAGGUGUGAUUCAGUUUCAGUUUCUGGUGCUUUUUUUUUUUGUUUGUUUGUUUGUUUUUAGUGUAAAAUUGAAUCAGGAUAAUGUUCCAGGAAAUAGAUUGAGUUAAAAACUUCAACUGAAGAGCAUUGUUAGAGGCUACAGUUUUUUUUUUUGUUUCUGUUUGAGAGACAUGUAGGAAAACAAGGCUGAGUCAGUAUGAUGAGGUAAUGAAGAAGAAUUGACGGCAGGAAAGUCAUAACUUUUUGGUUUUGGUUCCUCUUCAUUUUUUCGCAACAUUACAGUAGACUCAUUGCUGCAGCUGCUCAGUGGAAAGUCACAAAUUCCCUUUUUUGAAAAGAGAAAGGAACCACCUGACCGCAGGGCUCAUACAUCUUACUGCCAGCUCAUUAAAAGUACAGGCUGUUUAAGUUCAAUGUCAGACUCUGUUGAUCGUGCUGCAUGUAGCGGUUGAAGUCUGGGCUAACUUUUAUUUCUUGUUUUAGUCUUAGCAUUAGCAUUAAGAUAUUUUUUUUUUUUGGUGAAAAUUUGAUGAUUUUUGUACAUUAAUUUUUUUUUUUAAAUAAUUAUUUCUAAUUUUUUUAAUUACUUUAGCAACUCACCCUCCUCUACAAUUUAAUUCAAAUUUUUACACAUUUUUGCCUUGUUAUUAUCUUUAGUAAUUUCUUUUGUCAUCCAAUAUUCUCGGCUAACCUUUAACUUUUUGUUAGCUUAUUUUUCUAUUUGAGCAAUUAACUAUUAGUUACGGUAUUCUAGAAUGGGUCUUAGAUAUUAAAUAAUUCGUAUAAAAUAAUGUGCAAAAUAUAUUUGGAAAAAAAUAUAUUUUGGGCUAACUUUAUAUACUUCUGCUUUAACCUUGAGGUAAAAAAUUUUAAUAGCUUUUUGGGGUCAAUCUCUUGUAACAUCACAUCCUGGUGAUUAAAGCUGAUUUUUUUUUACCUAAAAGUAACCAAUUUGGCAGACAGCUAC